rnacentral:rRNA from 1 species
CUCCAGACUCCUACGGGAGGCAGCAGUGAGGAAUAUUGGUCAAUGGGCGGGAGCCUGAACCAGCCAAGUCGCGUGAGGGAAGACGGUCCUAUGGAUUGUAAACCUCUUUAGGCGGGGAGCAAUGCCGGGCACGCGUGCCCGGAGGGAGAGUACCCGCAGAAUAAGCAUCGGCUAACUCCGUGCCAGCAGCCGCGGUAAUACGGGGGAUGCAAGCGUUAUCCGGAUUUAUUGGGUUUAAAGGGUGCGUAGGCUGUGAGGUAAGUCAGCGGUGAAAUGCCCCCGCUCAACGGGGUGAAGUGCCAUUGAUACUGCCUUGCUGGAAUGCGGAUGCCGUGGGAGGAAUGUGUGGUGUAGCGGUGAAAUGCAUAGAUAUCACACAGAACACCGAUUGCGAAGGCAUCUCACGAAUCCGCGAUUGACGCUGAUGCACGAAAGCGUGGGUAUCGAACAGGAUUAGAUACCCCAGUA